GACACACUGAUAGUGAACUCUGGCUGAGCCAUGCUCCGUCGAUAGCAGUGCGAGGCACCAUUUAGCAGAAGCUUCCUGAUGCAGAGCUUUUAGAGAAUUCAAGGAUUCACUCUGUCAUCAUCAUCAGGAGUGCAUGUUUCCAUUGCUGAGUCAAAAGAUCUAAAUUGGAGCUGGACCAGAAACAAACGGUUAUGAACAAAUUGAGAAAUCAAAGAAAUAUCAGCAAGUCUCAAUGGAAUUCUGUGGUUCCCCAUAUCCAAGGGACAAAAAGUGGCAGAAAGACAAGGAUAUGUGCUAAUGUGGACACAUUGUUGACCAUCUUCUUCAGGCGGUUUUCUCUGCGAAACGAGAAGCAACCUGACUCUCUUCUCUGACAUCCUUCUCAGAGAGCCCUCUAUUUGAUUUGGAUUUUGUUCUUUCAUGCACUCAUUCUUCGGCCUGACCAACUCCCCCCUCAACACACACACACACCUUCAGCAAACAUUUAGUGAGCACUUGGUAUAUGCCCAGCAUCGGGCCCAGUGAUGCAGAUCAGAAGAUAAAAGGCACCAAUCCUUUGCUUUGUGCAAAUAUUAAUGUAAAGAACUCAUUUGCCCCAUGGGAUCCCUCACGCUGAAGACAGGAACCAUCUCUACCUAAACCCAAUGUCACCUGAGCAUCAGUGCUGCACAGCGAUGGAGCCUGUGGACUGCAGAGUCCUAAUGACAGGAGGGACGCCAGCGCCAGCUGGGCCAAAUGCUACCUAUGAACCUGGAAGCACAACAAAGAGCUGGACUCUGGUUGCCGGGCAGGCUACACCCCAGGAGGCCGGGAUGCAUCAUUAACUAAGUGCCUUCUCCCCACUGUCAAUGGAUCAUAAAGCAAGAUGGCAGCCUUCAUCCUUUACUCAGCUCAGAGCAAGGCCACGUGAGCAGUCUGAACAUUCGAAAAGGAAUUGGGACACCUGAUCCCACACGCGUUGUGGAGAAACUUCCUGGUGACAAUCAACUAAAAUCUCCAUCUUUAGCACCUCUUCUUCUUUCUUAUUUUAUGUCCAUUGCUAUUUGCCUCUUUUCUCCUAGAGGGAAUGGUAUAAGGAUUGAUGGUAUGAUCCCACAAAGGGCUCCAAGGCUUUCAGAUGGAUGGUGCUCUAUAAAAUAGUCUUAUUUAACAACUAAGGACAUUUACAAGAAUCCUCUUACCCUUCUCCUUCCUUUCCUUUGUUCCUUCAUCUCCACCCACCCCCCUAGCUCUAAGAAUUUUAUGAUCUGAAGGCCAAAAUGCUUUAAAUCUUAAUAACUACAGGGGCCACUUGGAAUACUGAAAGGAAACUAUAUAUACUCUUUACCUGACUCAUUCCAAGCUUUUACUGCAGCCGAAGUAACUGCUGCACCAUUUAAA